UACGUAGGGUGCGAGCGUUAAUCGGAAUUACUGGGCGUAAAGCGUGCGCAGGCGGUUUGUUAAGACCGAUGUGAAAUCCCCGGGCUCAACCUGGGAACUGCAUUGGUGACUGGCAAGCUAGAGUAUGGCAGAGGGGGGUAGAAUUCCACGUGUAGCAGUGAAAUGCGUAGAGAUGUGGAGGAAUACCGAUGGCGAAGGCAGCCCCCUGGGCCAAUACUGACGCUCAUGCACGAAAGCUAGGGGAGUAAACAGG
rnacentral:rRNA from 1 species